rnacentral:rRNA from 1 species
AUUGAACGCUGGCGGCAUGCCUUACACAUGCAAGUCGAACGGUAACAGGUCUUCGGAUGCUGACGAGUGGCGAACGGGUGAGUAAUGCAUCGGAACGUGCCCAGUUGUGGGGGAUAACUGCUCGAAAGAGCAGCUAAUACCGCAUACGACCUGAGGGUGAAAGCGGGGGAUCGCAAGACCUCGCGCAAUUGGAGCGGCCGAUGUCAGAUUAGGUAGUUGGUGGGGUAAAGGCCUACCAAGCCGACAAUCUGUAGUUGGUCUGAGAGGACGACCAGCCACACGGGGACUGAGACACGGCCCAGACUCCUACGGGAGGCAGCAGUGGGGAAUUUUGGACAAUGGGCGCAAGCCUGAUCCAGCAAUGCCGCGUGCAGGAAGAAGGCCUUCGGGUUGUAAACUGCUUUUGUCAGGGAAGAAAUCCUCUGGGUUAAUACCCCGGGGGGAUGACGGUACCUGAAGAAUAAGCACCGGCUAACUACGUGCCAGCCGCCGCGGUAAAAC